GAUGAACGCUGGCGGCGUGCCUAAUACAUGCCAGUCGAGCGAACAGACGAGGAGCUUGCUCCUCUGACGUUAGCGGCGGACGGGUGAGUAACACGUGGAUAACCUACCUAUAAGACUGGGAUAACUUCGGGAAACCGGAGCUAAUACCGGAUAAUAUAUUGAACCGCAUGGUUCAAUAGUGAAAGACGGUUUUGCUGUCACUUAUAGAUGGAUCCGCGCCGCAUUAGCUAGUUGGUAAGGUAACGGCUUACCAAGGCAACGAUGCGUAGCCGACCUGAGAGGGUGAUCGGCCACACUGGAACUGAGACACGGUCCAGACUCCUACGGGAGGCAGCAGUAGGGAAUCUUCCGCAAUGGGCGAAGGCUUGACGGAGCAACGCCGCGUGAGUGAUGAAGGUCUUCGGAUCGUAAAACUCUGUUAUUAGGGAAGAACAAAUGUGUAAGUAACUAUGCACGUCUUGACGGUACCUAAUCAGAAAGCCACGGCUAACUACGUG
rnacentral:rRNA from 1 species